ACUUCCCGAGCCGGAACGAAAAAGUGUUUGUGGAUUGAGUUCCUGAAUGCUUUUGGCUUUGUGGUUGUGAUGUUGUGUUUGCAAGUUGUCUGACGAUUUCAGACAUAGUAGCUCUGCUACUCUUUUUUUCACUUCCUGUA
rnacentral:sRNA from 1 species